CCUACGGGGGGCAGCAGUGGGGAAUAUUGGACAAUGGGCGAAAGCCUGAUCCAGCCAUGCCGCGUGUGUGAAGAAGGCCUUCGGGUUGUAAAGCACUUUCAGUGGGGAAGAAAGCCUUGGGGCUAAUACCCUCGAGGAAGGACAUCACCCACAGAAGAAGCACCGGCUAACUCCGUGCCAGCAGCCGCGGUAAUCCGGAGGGUGCGAGCGUUAAUCGGAAUUACUGGGCGUAAAGCGCGCGUAGGCGGUCUGAUAAGCCGGUUGUGAAAGCCCCGGGCUCAACCUGGGAACGGCAUCCGGAACUGUCAGGCUAGAGUGCAGGAGAGGAAGGUAGAAUUCCCGGUGUAGCGGUGAAAUGCGUAGAGAUCGGGAGGAAUACCAGUGGCGAAGGCGGCCUUCUGGACUGACACUGACGCUGAGGUGCGAAAGCGUGGGUAGCAAACAGGAUUAGAUACCCGGGUAGUC
rnacentral:rRNA from 1 species